rnacentral:rRNA from 1 species
UACGGAGGGUGCAAGCGUUAUCCGGAUUCACUGGGUUUAAAGGGUGCGUAGGUGGGCUAGUAAGUCAGUGGUGAAAUCUCUGGGCUUAACCCGGAAACUGCCAUUGAUACUAUUAGUCUUGAAUGUUGUGGAGGUAAGCGGAAUAUGUCAUGUAGCGGUGAAAUGCUUAGAUAUGACAUAGAACACCGAUAGCGUAGGCAGCUUACUACACAAAUAUUGACACUGAGGCACGAAAGCGUGGGGAUCAAACAGG